UACGUAGGGUGCAAGCGUUGUCCGGAAUUAUUGGGCGUAAAGGGCUCGUAGGCGGUUUGUCACGUCGGGAGUGAAAACUCGGGGCUUAACCCCGAGCCUGCUUCCGAUACGGGCAGACUAGAGGUAUGCAGGGGAGAACGGAAUUCCUGGUGUAGCGGUGAAAUGCGCAGAUAUCAGGAGGAACACCGGUGGCGAAGGCGAAUCUCUGGACAGUUACUGACACUGAGGCACGAAGGCCAGGGGAGCAAACGGG
rnacentral:rRNA from 1 species